rnacentral:tRNA from 1 species
CGCGGGGUGGAGCAGCCUGGUAGCUCGUCGGGCUCAUAACCCGAAGGUCGUCGGUUCAAAUCCGGCUCCCGCAA